rnacentral:rRNA from 1 species
UUACAAGAACAACUUCAAGAAAACAAACUUCAAGAAAGUGAAAGAGAACCUUGGAAAGGCGUGGGGUAGCCGCCUUGCUCAAUUCAGCCCCCGGGUCCGGGGGGGGUCUAGUGGGGGUCUGCUCUCUAGCGUAGGGGAGCUCUCACGGCGGCGGCACUUGCCCGCCGUGACGGCCGCUUCCGCCCUCCUACUGCCAAACGGCGAUUUCCAAAUCCACACUCUCUGCGUACACAUCCCUGUUGCUUCCCCGGGGAGGGUCCCCGGGGGAGGUCCGCGAGCGAACGAUGCCGCCCAACCCACCAGCCGCGCAACCCGUCUGAAGGCCAGCGAGCCACGGAUUGAGGAACGAGCGAGCGAACGAGAAUGAGAAGAAAAAACUUUCAACAACGGAUCUCUUGGUUCCCGCAUCGAUGAAGAACGCAGCGAAAUGCGAUAAGUAAUGUGAAUUGCAGAAUUCAGUGAAUCAUCGAAUCUUUGAACGCACAUUGCGCCCCCUGGCAUUCCGGGGGGCAUGCCUGUUCGAGCGUCUCUUGACGAAAACUCGCGCCAGUGACGGGCGCGGUCUUGGCAGGCGGAGGCGAGCCCGGAGGGGCGGCCACCGCGCUGGAAUGCAUGGGCGGAAGCCAGCCCCGUGGCCGAGCGUGAUGUGACACAGUUGUCGCUCGUGCGCGGCGAGGCUUCCAGCCAUUGCCCGUUUGUCGGGCGGGGAGUAACGACUCAUUGGGAACUCCUCGAAUC